UCCCCGGCUGGGCCGGCUGAGUCCGCAGCACUUGGCCUAAGUGUUCCUCUGCAGAAGGGACAGGCCCAGCACCGGGGG
rfam:PREDICTED: Anolis carolinensis X-box binding protein 1 (xbp1), mRNA